GACGAACGCUGGCGGCAUGCCUAACACAUGCAAGUCGAACGAGACCUUCGGGUCUAGGGGCGCACGGGGGCGUAACGCGUGGGAACCUACCCUUAGGUUCGCAAUACCUCCCCGAAAGGGGUGCUAAUACCGGUUAAUGUCUUCGGACCAACGAUUUAUCGCCGUGGGAUGGGCCCGCGUUGGAUUCGCUGGUUGGUAGGGUACAAGCCUACCAAGGCGACGAUCCAUAGCUGGUCGGAGAAGAGGAUACACUACAAUGGAAAUGAGACCCGGACCAGCCUCCGACGGGAGGGAGGAGUGGGGAAUACUGGACGCGGGGGGAUAGUGUGACAAAGCAACGCCGCGUGUGUGAUGAAGGCGGUAGGGUUGCAAAGCUGCUUGAGCCGAGAUGAGAAUGACAGUAAUGGGUGAAGAAGCACCGGCUAACUCCGUG
rnacentral:rRNA from 1 species